AUCUGAACCCAACAAAUUAUCCAUUGCCCCAACCGCGCCCCCGCCUUCCUUCCCCACCGCGGUGCUCCCCUCUCCCCACGGACGCCUCCCAGGCUCUGCCGCCGCCCCGCGCGACGGACACCAUCUCUCCCCUAUUUCCCUCCUCACCUCCACGGCCACGCCGCGUCGCCGCCCGAGUCCCGCUGCGGUCGCUAUGAUCUGCCGCGCCGCCCCGUAGCCCCACACCCGAAGCUGCAGCCGAGAUGCAUCUGAGCGAGAACGAGGGGAUCGAGGGCGUGCGGUUCGUGGUGACUGGCGGGCAGAGUAUCGUCCGCGCCGCGCUAUGCCUGGAGCUGAUUCGCCGCGGCGCCCUGGAGGUCUGCUCCCUCGACGGCUCGAUCUGUGCGAUUCCUCCUCUUGGUCCCAGCAGCUCCUCGACGCCGGCGUCCGCUUCUUCCAAGGUUCUCUCCCUCACUCUCUUUUGCUUAAAUUACUGUGGCUUUUUUCUUCUGUCGUCAUGAGUGGGCGUGAGACUUAAAUGCAGCGUAGCAUCGAAGAAGGUAAUUUGUUUUUCUGUCCAAUGUAUUAAAGCUAUAAUGUACGUGCUUAGUAAAUUGUUUAGGGCGGUGUGAGACUUAUAAUGCCUGCCAACUUAGUGAAUUGAUAAACCUGGAAGUUUGUGUUUUUUACUUCACUUGAAUUUGCACAAUUCAGUUAUGUGUUCAUUGAAUGGAUUUGACAGGACAUUUCCUGCAGGCAAUGAGGGAAGUAGAUGGGCAUGGCUGAUCUGUUCGUCAUGCAGUUAUGUGCUAUCUUAUUCCCUGAUGUUGAGUGUGAGUCCAUGCAUGUGCAAGCUAUAUGUGCUCUUAAGUUAUUAGUGUUCUCUAACUUAUUUCCUACUAUUCCUGCAUGGUACCACUUUUUCCCUACCAAGGAUAGAUGAGCCUAUUAACCUUAUGUUGCCUGUCUAUGUCAGAUUUAGAACCCAGCAAAGAAAUAUGGCAGAAAUUUGCAUAUUAACCUUUCUUGUGCAGGUUCGAGAUAUAAAUGGCAUACAGAUGCUUCUUUGCCAUGAGUGUGUAAACUUGAUGAGGCAAUAUGGUCUUCAAGCACAAGAAAUACCCAUGGACGUGAGUGCGGGCUGCUGCUCCGGCCUCCACUCCUCUGCUUGACCACCGCCGCCACCAUGUUGAGGCCCUCGCCACCAAGCGGCAUGCUUUCCCGAGGAUCAACAGCUAAUGGCAAACGCGUCAGCGAGUUCCGAGUGUGGUGGCCCGUGCAACAUGAAGAAGACCAUCCGGACAAAGGGCAGGUACACAAAUAGCCAAGAACACAAGGAAACGUGUAGGUCUGCGUUUCUGAGUUAUAUCUCUUUUAGCACUAACGAUUAAAUGGUCUGUAGCUGGUCAGGUGUGCUUGCCCAACAUUUGCUAGAUCCAUGCUUGCUUCUAUGUUGUUCUUGCAGCCUCAACUAGCUAAUUUUAUUUAAAGCAAAUGUUGUUCUAUCCUUCCAAUUACUGUUAUUCAGAUCUUCUAUUCUUUUUUCUGUUGUCAUUCACAGUACAAAUGUUAUGAGAAUUUCAGGAAUUUUUUCAUAUCUUUCUCCGAGUUACCUUAAUUUUGUAAAUUGUGCUCUAAUUCAGUUUUGAGUUUGUUUUCAGAAAAGCCUACUUUAAACCUGUGUAAAUCCAUUAUUUCCUUUGAGUUUGCCGUGGAGUGCUUACAAUUCUCAAAGGCGUCAACAAGACCCGGAGGAGAUUGACAAGGAAUUCUUGUUGUAAAGUGCGAAGGCAUGGUUUGGUUUGCAUGACAUUAUCUUCAAUUGGCUGGAGAUAUAUAAAUGUUGAUACUUGAUUUUCUCACCUGGCAUCUUAUCACUUCUGUGAAAGACACUUCAUUUUCUCAUAGUAAUAGUUCUUUAUUAUUGUUGAUACAUAAAUGGAUCUUUAUUGAAUCGUACUUGUAUGUGUGUA